GGCUCCAUAGUGUAGCGGUUAGCAUGUCUGCUUUACACACAGAAGGUCCUGGGUUUGCGUCCUAGGUGAAGCUA
rnacentral:tRNA from 1 species